rnacentral:rRNA from 1 species
UGGGGAAUUUUGCACAAUGGGGGAAACCCUGAUGCAGCGACGCCGCGUGAUUUAGAAGGCCUUCGGGUUGUAAAAAUCUUUUGUCUAGGAAGAAAAUGACAGUACUAUACGAAUAAGGACCGGCCAAUUACGUGCCAGCAGCCGCGGUAAUACGUAAGGUCCGAGCGUUGUCCGGAAUCAUUGGGCGUAAAGGGUACGUAGGCGGGUAAGCAAGUUAGAAGUGAAAUCCUAUAGCUCAACUAUAGUAAGCUUUUAAAACUGCUCAUCUUGAGGUAUGGAAGGGAAAGUGGAAUUCCUAGUGUAGCGGUGAAAUGCGCAGAAAUUAGGAGGAAUACCGGUGGCGAAGGCGACUUGCUGGCCAUAACCUGACGCUGAGGCUCGAAAGCGUGGGUAGCAAACAGG